rnacentral:rRNA from 1 species
UGAGUACGAGAUGCUACGGCAUCGAAGCAGUCUAUGUCAUACUUCCAAGAAAAGCUUGCACUGUCAGAAACAGAUAAUGCCUGUACCAUAACCGACACAGGUGGGUAGGUAGAGUAUACUAAGGGGCGCGAGAUAACUCUCUCUAAGGAACUCGGCAAAAUGACUCCGUAACUUCGGGAGAAGGAGUGCCUUAUUUUUAAGGUUGCAAUAACAAGAUCCAAGCAACUGUUUACCAAAAACACAGGUCUCCGCUAAGUCGUAAGACGAUGUAUGGGGGCUGACGCCUGCCCAGUGCCAGAAGGUUAAAGAAGUCGGUUAGCAUUCGCGAAGCUGGUAACUGAAGCCCUGGUGAACGGCGGCCGUAACGAUAACGGUCCUAAGGUAGCGAAAUUCCUUGUCGGGUAAGUUCCGACCCGCACGAAAGGCGUAAUGAUUUGGAUACUGUCUCGGAGAGGGGCUCGGUGAAAUAGACUUGUCUGUGAAGAUGCGGACUACCUGCACCUGGACAGAAAGACCCUAUGAAGCUUUACUGUAACUUGAAAUUGAAAUUGGACUUUAUUUGCGCAGUAUAGGUGGGAGGCGUUGAAAAUAUUCUUGCGGGAAUAUUGGAGCCAUCAGUGAGAUACCACUCUUGUAAUGUUAGAUUUCUAACUUUAUAUCAUUAUCUGGUUAAAGAACAGUUUCAGGCGGGCAGUUUGACUGGGGCGGUCGCCUCCCAAAUGGUAACGGAGGCGCACAAAGGUUUCCUCUGAACGGGUAGAAAUCGUAUCUAGAGUGUAAAGGCAUAAGGAAGCUUGACUGUGAGACCUACAAGUCGAGCAGGGACGAAAGUCGGUCUUAGUGAUCUGACGGUGCUGAGUGGAAAGGCCGUCACUCAACGGAUAAAAGUUACUCUAGGAUAACAGGCUGAUCUCCCCCAAGAGUUCACAUCGACGGGGAGGUUUGGCACCUCGAUGUCGGCUCAUCGCAUCCUGGGGCGGUAGUACGUCCCAAGGGUUGGGCUGUUCGCCCAUGAAAGCGGUACGCGAGCUGGGUUCAGAACGUCGUGAGACAGUUCGGUCCAUAUCCGGUGUAGGCGUUAGAAUAUUGAGAGGAGCCUUCUUUAGUACGAGAGGACCGAGAAGGACAUACCUCUGGUGUACCAGUUAUCGUGCCAACGGUAAACGCUGGGUAGCUAUGUAUGGAGUGGAUAACCGCUGAAAGCAUCUAAGUGGGAAGCCCACCUCAAGAUAAGUAUUCUCAUCACGUAAGUGAAUAAGGUCACGGUAAGACUAACCGUUUGAUAGGCAUUAAGUGUAAAUCUAGUAAUAGGUGAGCUGAGAUGUACUAACAGACCGAAGACUC